rnacentral:lncRNA from 1 species
CCUUCCCUUUCCUUUCUUAUUUUCGGUUUUUGCUCUCUUUUUAAGUGUAUAAGUGUUUUGUAAAAUGAAAGAAAUCUUUCUAUGGCAAUGGAUAUGGAUGUAUUUAUAUAUAUAUAAAGAUAAGGAUAAAAACUUGAUAUUUUUUUCUUGUUUUCUCUUCUCCACCGCCUCAACCCCUUUUCUCCCAUUUUUUCUUUUUUUUUUCUUGCUUGUACACAUGUUUAGUCUAUUAUCUAAGUGUAUGGUGAUGAUGGAUGACAAGUGGGUUGAUUAUAGGGUAAUAAGUGGCCUCAAAACCUAG